AACGCCGCGUGAGCGAAGAAGGCCUUCGGGUCGUAAAGCUCUGUUGUAAGGGAAGAACACGUGCCAUUUAACUGAUGGCACCUUGACGGUACCUUACGAGAAAGCCACGGCUAACUACGUGCCAGCAGCCGCGGUAAUACGUAGGUGGCAAGCGUUGUCCGGAUUUAUUGGGCGUAAAGCGCGCGCAGGCGGUCCUUUAAGUCUGAUGUGAAAGCCCACGGCUCAACCGUGGAGGGUCAUUGGAAACUGGGGGACCUGAGUGCAGAAGAGGAAAGCGGAAUUCCACGUGUAGCGGUGAAAUGCGUAGAGAUGUGGAGGAACACCAGUGGCGAAGGCGGCUUUCUGGUCUGUAACUGACGCUGAGGCGCGAAAGCGUGGGGAGCAAACAGGAUUAGAUACCCUGGUAGUCCACGCCGUAAACGAUGAGUGCUAAGUGUUAGGGGGUUUCCGCCCCUUAGUGCUGCAGCUAACGCAUUAAGCACUCCGCCUGGGGAGUACGGCCGCAAGGCUG
rnacentral:rRNA from 1 species